GUGCUCACUUCAGAAGCACAUAUACUAAAAUUGGACCGAUACAGAGAAGAUUAUCAUGGCCCCUGCACAAGGAUGACACGCAAAUUAGUGAAGCGGUCCAUAUUUUU
rnacentral:snRNA from 1 species